AGCGAACGCUGGCAGCAGGCCUAACACAUGCAAGUCGAACGAACCUUUCGGGGUUAGUGGCGGACGGGUGAGUAACACGUGGGAACGUGCCUUUAGGUUCGGAAUAACUCAGGGAAACUUGUGCUAAUACCGAAUGUGCCCUUCGGGGGAAAGAUUAAUCGCCUUUAGAGCGGCCCGCGUCUGAUUAGCUAGUUGGUUGAGGUAAUGGCUCACCAAGGCGACGAUCAGUAGCUGGUCUGAGAGGAUGAUCAGCCACAUUGGGACUGAGACACGACCCAAACUCCUACGGGAGGCAGCAGUGGGGAAUCUUGCGCAAUGGGCGAAAGCCUGACGCAGCCAUGCCGCGUGAAUGAUGAAGGUCUUAGGAUUGUAAAAUUCUUUCACCGGGGACGAUAAUGACGGUACCCGGAGAAGAAGCCCCGGCUAACUUCGUG
rnacentral:rRNA from 1 species